UCGAUAUUCAAAUUCAAAUAACUUCAUUUAUUUACUCAAAUAAAAUAUUUUAUUUACACUUAGAAAUUAUGGGUUUGUUUGCUAGUAAAUUCUACAACGCCUUCAUGUUCCUAUCUCUUGUUCUUCUUCUCCUUCUUUCCUCAAGUGAUGUCGAAGCAGCAAAAAUUUGUAGAAGCAAAAGUAGAACAUGGUCGGGGCCUUGUAUUGAUAACUCAUCAUGUAGUUCAAAAUGCAAGCAAUCGGAGCAUGCAAAUUAUGGUUAUUGUGAACACAAUGGUUUUUGCUAUUGCUACUUUUAUUGUUCAUGAUCAUGCAAUUUCCACCUUUGACACCAAAUGCUAUGUCAUCACUUAGAUUAAAAUGUUAUCAUCAUUAUGUCUAUUUGUUGGUUUGGAUCAGUUUUGGUUCACCUCGUUACCCAAAUUAAUCGAAAUUUUCCAAUUUGAAAUAAAUUGAGUGUAUGUAUGAUACAAGAUUAUUGUAUGAUGACUAGAGCUAAACACAUUCAAAUUAUUAGGUCAACAUUCAUGAAAUCUUAACACAUUUAUCUUGUAUUCCAUUCAA